rnacentral:rRNA from 1 species
CGCUGGCGGCGCGCCUAACACAUGCAAGUCGAACGAGAGAGAGGAAGCCUUUGCUUCCUCAAUCGAGUGGCGAACGGGUGAGUAACGCGUGAGGAACCUGCCUCAAAAGAGGGGGACAACAGUUGGAAACGACUGCUAAUACCGCAUAAGCCCACGGGUCGGCAUCGACCAGAGGGAAAAGGAGCAAUCCGCUUUGAGAUGGCCUCGCGUCCGAUUAGCUAGUUGGUGAGGUAAUGGCCCACCAAGGCGACGAUCGGUAGCCGGACUGAGAGGUUGAACGGCCACAUUGGGACUGAGACACGGCCCAGACUCCUACGGGAGGCAGCAGUGGGGAAUAUUGCACAAUGGGGGAAACCCUGAUGCAGCGACGCCGCGUGGAGGAAGAAGGUCUUCGGAUUGUAAACUCCUGUUGUUGAGGAAGAUAAUGACGGUACUCAACAAGGAAGUGACGGCUAACUACGUG